CCUACGGGAGGCAGCAGUGAGGAAUAUUGGUCAAUGGGCGUAAGCCUGAACCAGCCAAGUCGCGUGAGGGAUGAAGGUUCUAUGGAUCGUAAACCUCUUUUAUAAGGGAAUAAAGUGCGGGACGUGUCCCGUUUUGUAUGUACCUUAUGAAUAAGGAUCGGCUAACUCCGUGCCAGCAGCCGCGGUAAUACGGAGGAUCCGAGCGUUAUCCGGAUUUAUUGGGUUUAAAGGGUGCGUAGGCGGCCUUUUAAGUCAGCGGUGAAAGUCUGUGGCUCAACCAUAGAAUUGCCGUUGAAACUGGGAGGCUUGAGUAUGUUUGAGGCAGGCGGAAUGCGUGGUGUAGCGGUGCAAUGCUUAGAUAUCACGCAGAACCCCGAUUGCGAAGGCAGCCUGCCAAGUCAUGACUGACGCUGAUGCACGAAAGCGUGGGUAUCAAACAGGAUUAGAUACCCUAGUAGUC
rnacentral:rRNA from 1 species